rnacentral:rRNA from 1 species
CCUGGCUCACGAUGAACGCUAGCUACAGGCUUAACACAUGCAAGUCGAGGGGCAUCAGGAAGAAAGCUUGCUUUCUUUGCUGGCGACCGGCGCACGGGUGAGUAACACGUAUCCAACCUGCCCUUUACUCGGGGAUAGCCUUUCGAAAGAAAGAUUAAUACCCGAUAGCAUAAUGAUUCCGCAUGGUUUCAUUAUUAAAGGAUUCCGGUAAAGGAUGGGGAUGCGUUCCAUUAGGUUGUUGGUGAGGUAACGGCCCACCAAGCCUUCGAUGGAUAGGGGUUCUGAGAGGAAGGUCCCCCACAUUGGAACUGAGACACGGUCCAAACUCCUACGGGAGGCAGCAGUGAGGAAUAUUGGUCAAUGGGCGCUAGCCUGAACCAGCCAAGUAGCGUGAAGGAUGAAGGCUCUAUGGGUCGUAAACUUCUUUUAUAUAAGAAUAAAGUGCAGUAUGUAUACUGUUUUGUAUGUAUUAUAUGAAUAAGGAUCGGCUAACUCCGUGCCAGCAGCCGCGGUAAUACGGAGGAUCCGAGCGUUAUCCGGAUUUAUUGGGUUUAAAGGGAGCGUAGGUGGACUGGUAAGUCAGUUGUGAAAGUUUGCGGCUCAACCGUAAAAUUGCAGUUGAUACUGUCAGUCUUGAGUACAGUAGAGGUGGGCGGAAUUCGUGGUGUAGCGGUGAAAUGCUUAGAUAUCACGAAGAACUCCGAUUGCGAAGGCAGCUCACUGGACUGCAACUGACACUGAUGCUCGAAAGUGUGGGUAUCAAACAGGAUUAGAUACCCUGGUAGUCCACACAGUAAACGAUGAAUACUCGCUGUUUGCGAUAUACAGUAAGCGGCCAAGCGAAAGCAUUAAGUAUUCCACCUGGGGAGUACGCCGGCAACGGUGAAACUCAAAGGAAUUGACGGGGGCCCGCACAAGCGGAGGAACAUGUGGUUUAAUUCGAUGAUACGCGAGGAACCUUACCCGGGCUUAAAUUGCAGUGGAAUGAUGUGGAAACAUGUCAGUGAGCAAUCACCGCUGUGAAGGUGCUGCAUGGUUGUCGUCAGCUCGUGCCGUGAGGUGUCGGCUUAAGUGCCAUAACGAGCGCAACCCUUAUCUUCAGUUACUAACAGGUCAUGCUGAGGACUCUGGAGAGACUGCCGUCGUAAGAUGUGAGGAAGGUGGGGAUGACGUCAAAUCAGCACGGCCCUUACGUCCGGGGCUACACACGUGUUACAAUGGGGGGUACAGAAGGCAGCUAGCGGGUGACCGUAUGCUAAUCCCAAAAGCCUCUCUCAGUUCGGAUCGAAGUCUGCAACCCGACUUCGUGAAGCUGGAUUCGCUAGUAAUCGCGCAUCAGCCACGGCGCGGUGAAUACGUUCCCGGGCCUUGUACACACCGCCC